AUGUGGUCCAGGAUCUCAAAUUCUACCACAACACCCCACCCAGCGCUGAAGUCUGGCAGCUUCCCCCUGGUGCUUUGGGGCCGUCCCCUGCUCCUGCCCCCGCCUCAGCCCUUGUCCGUGGCGUGCUGCAGGGCCUGGGGCAGGGAUUGGGGUUCCCCACCCCCCCUUCACCCCGCUGCUCUCCUCCAGCGGGGUGUCAGCAGGCAGGGGCUGAACGAUGCCCCAGCCCCCGCAGCGCUGCUCCCCGCUGCAUCUUCGCCCCCUGCUGCACCUGCGGCUGGGGCUGUGCUGUGCCUCGGUCACCCCCCGGCCACCCCCAGCCCUGCCCCUGCCCCCUGCGGCCGGGCCCGGCCCCGUCCCCGCUCCUCCCGGGCCCGGGGCGUGUCGGUGUCGGUGUCGGUGUGGCGGCUCCUCCUCCCCGCCUCCCCUCGCUCCCUGCCCGCGGAAGAUGGCGGCCGGGCGGCGCGGCGGCGGCUCCCCCAGCGGCCGGAGGGACGCCCAGCGGCCGGCAGCCGGCGGGCCGCGGCCGGCCUGAGGCAGAGCUCCCCGCGGCGCCGGGGGGACGGCGGCCCCCAGCGAGCCCGGAGCCCGGCCCCCAGCCCGCCCGGCGCGGCUCCUGCGGCAGGUGAGGAGGGCGAGGACGAGGAGGAGGAGGGCGGCGGCGGCCCGGCCUCGGGGGGCGGCGGGGGCCGGCAGCCACCUGUGCGGGCCCGGCGGGGCAGCGGGGCGAGGGGCCGGGCCGCCAGGGCUCGCUCCCCGCGGGCUCCCGGCCGCUGGGCUCCAGCCCCGGGCCCGAGGCACGCUCACGGCGGCGGUGGAGCGCCGGGCAGGAGCCGGGGUAGCGCUGUGCUGGCUGCGCGCCUCGCUGCGAGAGCACCCCGAGAGCCACAGGUAUGCACGGGCACGGAGCGGCCCCAUGUGCUCGCUCCUCAGCCCGGUGCCCUCGGCUCGGGGCCGUGCAUCCACACCGCGGGAGCAGAGCCCCAGGACCGGAGCGCGGGGACAGCCGAGGUGCCCCAUCUGCAGCGGGCUGCUCAGCGCCACGGCCGGGCUCACGGAGCCGGCUCCUGGCAGCUGCCCCCGCAGCAGCUCCCCAGCCCGUGCCCCUCGCCGCUCGGGGCGGCUGUGCCGUGCUGA
rnacentral:lncRNA from 1 species